rnacentral:rRNA from 1 species
CUGGUUGAUCCUGCCAGUAGUCAUAUGCUUGUCUUAAAGAUUAAGCCAUGCAUGUGUCAGUAUAAAUAGUAUACAGUGAAACUGCGAAUGGCUCAUUAAACCAGUUAUAGUUUAUUUGAUAAUUGAAUUUACAUGGAUAACUGUGGCAAUUCUAGAGCUAAUACAUGCUGUCAAACCUUUAGGUUGUAUUUAUUAGAUAUCAAGCCCAUAAUUUUGAUGAUUCAUAAUAACUGAUCGAAUCGAGGGAUUCCUCGAUAAAUCAUUCAAGUUUCUGCCCUAUCAGCUAGAUGGUAGUGUAUUG